AAAAUAGUCUACAAAAAUUGUCUCAAUUAAAACAAGCGGCUGGUCGAUUAAAAGCUCAAAGAGUCCAGACGAUAUGUCUAUGUAUCAUCAAGAGGCAAAGUCAAAAGAGGGGAAUGGGAAUUCCUAUGUCGUCGCCGAGAUCGUGGCAACCCCGCAUAGACCCAUAGACUAUAAGGUAAAAGAAAAAGAAACAAGACGAGAAAAGACAGAAGCAAACCAAGAGAACUGAGAAAAUUGCACUUGUAAAGAGAAACAACGAGUUGCUGAGGAGGAGGAUGGAGAAAAAAUUUAUUAAAGUGUGGAAUUAGCUGUUGAAAGGAGACAAGCGUCUUGGUGGUAAGCAUUCAAGAGGUGAAUCAAUUAUGAAAUUCCAUAUAAGUUUAUUGCACAUUCAACAAUAGCCAACAAUCAUAGAAUGAUGCAGAGAAUGUAAUAAUGUGG